rnacentral:rRNA from 1 species
CCUACGGGGGGCUGCAGUGGGGAAUCUUGCGCAAUGGACGAAAGUCUGACGCAGCGACGCCGCGUGAGUGAUGAAGGCCUUCGGGUUGUAAAGCUCUGUGGGGAGAGACGAAUAAGGUGCAGUUAAUAUCUGCAUCGAUGACGGUACCUCCUUAGCAAGCACCGGCUAACUCUGUGCCAGCAGCCGCGGUAAGACAGAGGGUGCAAAUGUUGUUCGGAAUCACUGGGCGUAUCACAUGUGUCGGCUGUCAAAGCCCAGGGCUCAACCUGGGAAGUGCAUUCGAUACUGUGUGACUGGAGUACUGGAGAGGUUGGUGGAAUUCUCGGUGUAGAGGUGAAAUUCGUAGAUAUCGGGAAGAACAUCUGUGGCGAAGGCGGCCAACUGGACAGAUACUGACGCUGAGACACGAAAGCGUGGGGAGCAAACAGGAUUAGAUACCCUUGUAGUC